UGGGGAAUUUUGCACAAUGGGCGCAAGCCUGAUGCAGCGACGCCGCGUGAGGGAUGAAGGCCUUCGGGUUGUAAACCUUUUUCGCUCAUGGUCAAGCCGCAGCUUUGGGUUGUGGUGAGGGUAGUGGGUAAAGAAGCGCCGGCUAACUACGUGCCAGCAGCCGCGGUAAUACGUAGGGCGCGAGCGUUGUCCGGAAUUAUUGGGCGUAAAGCGCACGUAGGCGGACUUUUAAGUCAGGGGUGAAAUCCCGGGGCUCAACCCCGGAACUGCCUUUGAUACUGGAAGUCUUGAGUAUGGUAGAGGUGAGUGGAAUUCCGAGUGUAGAGGUGAAAUUCGUAGAUAUUCGGAGGAACACCAGUGGCGAAGGCGGCUCACUGGACCAUUACUGACGCUGAGGUGCGAAAGCGUGGGGAGCAAACAGG
rnacentral:rRNA from 1 species